GUACUUGCUUUGGUAGCACAUAUACUAACAUCAGAAUGAAAGAAGAUUAGCAUGGCCCCUGCACAAAGAUGACAUGCAAAUUCAUGAAAUGUUCCAUAUUUUU